GGUCCCUUUUUGGUCCAAUGGCUAGGAUUUCACGCUCUCACCAUAGUGACCAGGGUUCAAUCCCUGUGGAGGAGCCA